rnacentral:rRNA from 1 species
UACGUAGGGGGCAAGCGUUGUCCGGAAUCAUUGGGCGUAAAGCGCGCGUAGGCGGCCCGGUAAGUCCGCUGUGAAAGUCAAAGGCUCAACCUUUGAAUGUCAGCGGAUACUGCCGGGCUAGAGUCCGGAAGAGGCGAGUGGAACUCCUGGUGUAGCGGUGGAAUGCGCAGAUAUCAGGAAGAACACCAACGGCGAAGGCAGCUCGCUGGGACGGAACUGACGCUGAGGCGCGAAAGCCAGGGGAGCAAACGGG